AAAGUGGCGAAAGGGUGAGUAAUACGUGAGUAACCUACCUUUAACUCUGGGAUAAGCCUGGGAAACUGGGUCUAAUACCGGAUACGACCAAUCUCCGCAUGGGGUGUUGGUGGAAAGCGUUAUGUAGUGGUUAUAGAUGGGCUCACGGCCUAUCAGCUUGUUGGUGAGGUAACGGCUCACCAAGGCGACGACGGGUAGCCGGCCUGAGAGGGUGACCGGCCACACUGGGACUGAGACACGGCCCAGACUCCUACGGGAGGCAGCAGUGGGGAAUAUUGCACAAUGGGCGCAAGCCUGAUGCAGCGACGCCGCGUGAGGGAUGACGGCCUUCGGGUUGUAAACCUCUGUUAGCAGGGAAGAAGAGAGAUGACGGUACCUGCAGAGAAAGCGCCGGCUAACUACGUGCCAGCAGCCGCGGUAAUACGUAGGGCGCGAGCGUUGUCCGGAAUUAUUGGGCGUAAAGAGCUUGUAGGCGGUUUGUCGCGUCUGCUGUGAAAGGCCCGGAGCUUAACUCCGUGUAUUGCAGUGGGUACGGGCAGACUAGAGUGCAGUAGGGGAGACUGGAAUUCCUGGUGUAGCGGUGGAAUGCGCAGAUAUCAGGAGGAACACCGAUGGCGAAGGCAGGUCUCUGGGCUGUAACUGACGCUGAGAAGCGAAAGCAUGGGGAGCGAACAGGAUUAGAUACCCUGGUAGUCCAUGCCGUAAACGUUGGGCACUACGUGUGGGGGACAUUCCACGUUUUCCGCGCCCUAGCUAACGCAUUAAGUGCCCCGCCUGGGGAGUACGGCCGCAACGCUAAAACUCAAAGAAAUUGACGGGCAGCCCGCACAACCGGACGGAGCAUGACGCAUUAAUUAGAUGCAACGCGAACGAACAUUACCAACGCGGGACAUAUACUGGACUGCAUCAGACAUGGGUGUUCCCUUGGCUGGGGGCUCGUAUACAUGGUGGGGCAUGGUAAUCAUCAGCUCGCGCCGGGAGAAUAAUGGGUUAACCCCCGCAACGAGCCCAACCCCUCAGGUUAACUAUGGUCCCAGCAGCGUUAUGGUGGGCCGUAAGCUCAAAAAACCACCGCCCGGCGUCAACUCGGAGGGAAGGUGGGGAUGACGUCAAAUCAUCAU
rnacentral:rRNA from 2 species